rnacentral:rRNA from 1 species
UACGUAGGGGGCUAGCGUUGUCCGGAUUUAUUGGGCGUAAAGAGCUCGUAGGCGGUUUGGCGCGUCUGCCGUGAAAGUCCGGGGCUCAACUCCGGAUCUGCGGUGGGUACGGGCAGACUAGAGUGAUGUAGGGGAGACUGGAAUUCCUGGUGUAGCGGUGAAAUGCGCAGAUAUCAGGAGGAACACCGAUGGCGAAGGCAGGUCUCUGGGCAUUAACUGACGCUGAGGAGCGAAAGCAUGGGGAGCGAACAGG